rnacentral:rRNA from 1 species
GACGAACGCUGUUUGCGUGCUUAACACAUGCAAGUCGAACGGAAAGGCCCUGCUUUUGUGGGGUGCUCGAGUGGCGAACGGGUGAGUAACACGUGAGUAACCUGCCCUUGACUUUGGGAUAACUUCAGGAAACUGGGGCUAAUACCGGAUAGGAGCUCCUGCUGCAUGGUGGGGGUUGGAAAGUUUCGGCGGUUGGGGAUGGACUCGCGGCUUAUCAGCUUGUUGGUGGGGUAGUGGCUUACCAAGGCUUUGACGGGUAGCCGGCCUGAGAGGGUGACCGGCCACAUUGGGGCUGAGAUACGGCCCAGACUCCUACGGGAGGCAGCAGUGGGGAAUAUUGCACAAUGGGCGGAAGCCUGAUGCAGCAACGCCGCGUGCGGGAUGACGGCCUUCGGGUUGUAAACCGCUUCCGCCUGUGACGAAGCGUGAGUGACGGUAAUGGGUAAAGAAGCACCGGCUAACUACGUGCCAGCAGCCGCGGUGAUACGUAGGGUGCGAGCGUUGUCCGGAUUUAUUGGGCGUAAAGGGCUCGUAGGUGGUUGAUCGCGUCGGAAGUGUAAUCUUGGGGCUUAACCCUGAGCGUGCUUUCGAUACGGGUUGACUUGAGGAAGGUAGGGGAGAAUGGAAUUCCUGGUGGAGCGGUGGAAUGCGCAGAUAUCAGGAGGAACACCAGUGGCGAAGGCGGUUCUCUGGGCCUUUCCUGACGCUGAGGAGCGAAAGCGUGGGGAGCGAACAGGCUUAGAUACCCUGGUAGUCCACGCUGUAAACGGUGGGUACUAGGUGUGGGGUCCAUUCCACGGGUUCCGUGCCGUAGCUAACGCUUUAAGUACCCCGCCUGGGGAGUACGGCCGCAAGGCUAAAACUCAAAGGAAUUGACGGGGCCCCGCACAAGCGGCGGAGCAUGCGGAUUAAUUCGAUGCAACGCGUAGAACCUUACCUGGGUUUGACAUGGAUCGGGAGUGCUCAGAGAUGGGUGUGCCUCUUUUGGGGUCGGUUCACAGGUGGUGCAUGGCUGUCGUCAGCUCGUGUCGUGAGAUGUUGGGUUAAGUCCCGCAACGAGUGCAACCCUUGUUCACUGUUGCCAGCACGUUAUGGUGGGGACUCAGUGGAGACCGCCGGGGUCAACUCGGAGGAAGGUGGGGAUGACGUCAAGUCAUCAUGCCCCUUAUGUCCAGGGCUUCACGCAUGCUACAAUGGCUGGUACAGAGAGUGGCGAGCCUGUGAGGGUGAGCGAAUCUCGGAAAGCCGGUCUCAGUUCGGAUUGGGGUCUGCAACUCGACCUCAUGAAGUCGGAGCCGCUAGUAAUCGCAGAUCAGCAACGCUGCGGUGAAUACGUUCCCGGGGCU